rnacentral:rRNA from 1 species
AUGGCAGCAGACACAACAGCAACCCAAACCCCGCUAAGCAUCAGCAUUCAGCAGCACCUCCCUUCUACCUCCUCUGCUUUGCAUUCCUCCUUCCGGUUUCAACCGCAAUCAAUGGCUGCCAUGAAGAUCACCCUCCUUGCCGUGGCCGCCUUAUUAGGCACCGCGUCAGCGGUAACCUACAACGUCGGCGAGCAGGGCGGUUGGACCCUCAACACCGACUACAGCAGCUGGGUGUCCGGCAAGAAGUUCAACGUGGGUGAUGAGAUCGUCUUCAAGUACUCGUCCGCCGCGCACGAUGUGGUCGAGGUCAGCAAGGCCGGCUACGACUCCUGCAGCAUCGACGGCGCCAUCAACACCUUCAAAUCUGGCAACGACGUCAUCCCCCUCAGCGCCACCGGCACCCGCUACUUCAUCUGCGGCAUCACUGGCCACUGCAGCCCCACCGCCGCGGCCAGCAUGAAGGUCAUGAUCGACGUCGCCUCGGGCUCCUCUUCGCCUUCCUCACCCAUGCCAGCCGCAGGUCCUGGCGCGAGCAACUCUCCCCCGGCGCCACCCUCCUCCGCCGCUACCUCCGUCGGUGCCACAGCAGGAUUUGGCCUCGUCGCCCUACUGGCGGCUGGUCUCAUGGCUUGA